rnacentral:rRNA from 1 species
CGAACGCUGGUAGCGUGGAUAGGCAUGCAAGUCGAACGGGAUCCGGAAGGUAGCAAUAUCGUCCGGUGAGAGUGGCGGAAGGGCGAGGAACGCGUGGACAACCUGUCCAUGGGACGGGGAAAACUCCGGGGAAACUGGAGCUAAUACCCGAUACGUCGCGGGGCGGCAUCGCUUCAGCGGCAAAGGGGGCGCCGCAAGGGCUCCCGCCCAACGAGGGGUCCGCGUAUCAUCAGCUUGUUGGCGGGGUAACGCCCACCAAGGCUUACGAUUAGCUGGUCUGAGAGGAUGGCCAGCCGCACUGGGACUGAGAUACUGCCCAGACUCCUACGGGAGGCUGCAGUCGAGGAUCAUUCGCAAUGGGGGAAACCCUGACGAUGCGACGCUGCGUGGAGGACGACGGCCUUCGGGUUGUAAACUCCUGUCAUCGGGGAAAAGGCGAGGGAGCCCAACACGUUCCUUAGUUGAUGGUACCCGAAGAGGAAGCGACGGCUAACUCUGUGCCAGCCGCCGC